rnacentral:rRNA from 1 species
GAUGAACGCUGGCGGCGUGCCUAAUACAUGCAAGUCGAGCGAACGGACGAGAAGCUUGCUUCUCUGAUGUUAGCGGCGGACGGGUGAGUAACACGUGGAUAACCUACCUAUAAGACUGGGAUAACUUCGGGAAACCGGAGCUAAUACCGGAUAAUAUUUUGAACCGCAUGGUUCAAAAGUGAAAGACGGUCUUGCUGUCACUUAUAGAUGGAUCCGCGCUGCAUUAGCUAGUUGGUAAGGUAAAGGCUUACCAAGGCAACGAUGCAUAGCCGACCUGAGAGGGUGAUCGGCCACACUGGAACUGAGACACGGUCCAGCCUCCUACGGGAGGCAGCAGUAGGGAAUCUUCCGCAAUGGGCGAAAGCCUGACGGAGCAACGCCGCGUGAGUGAUGAAGGUCUUCGGAUCGUAAAACUCUGUUAUUAGGGAAGAACAUAUGUGUAAGUAACUGUGCACAUCUUGACGGUACCUAAUCAGAAAGCCACGGCUAACUACGUG